rnacentral:tRNA from 2 species
UGGCGGAUCGUCCAAUGGUAGGACAGCGGACUUUGAAUCCGUCAAUCUAGGUUCGAAUCCUAGUCCGCCAGCCA